AAAAUCUGUGCUCCAGAAAUAAGACAUCGUCCACCCAUCUGCCAGAAGCCCCGUUCCGUGGAAACCGGAUACUGUGUCAGCAGCUUUGCCUGCGCUGAAUUUGGAAAGUGCUGGGUAAAUCCAAGAGAGGAGUGUGUGCAUGGGACCAUCCGGCCAGGACCCUUUCAGCGAUCCCUCCUCACUGCUGCUGGCAGCUGAUGGUAAAUGGGCCACCAGGGUUGGCAGGCGACCAGCAAAGGAUUGUAUAUUCUGAUGACUGACCCCCCGCCCUGUCCCAGGACAGAACCUGCCUGAGAUCCCAGCAUCAUGAUAACGGCCCACACAUCUAGACAAGCUGCUCAAUGAGAGAGCCCCUGGACUAUGCAUCUCAGCCACGCGUUGUGCAGUAAGGAGCCAGUCUGACUCCGGGCGGUGGUAACAGGAGGAGCAGGACACUGAUUUAUUGUGUUUAUUAAAACUUUAAAAAGCAGUUGGACAUUUUGAUCCCACAAUUUCCACACUUUGCUGGGACGCCCUAAUUCACACUUGGUAGAACUUCAUUCCCGUUGUGUAGCAUCUUGCUAC